rnacentral:rRNA from 1 species
CGCGUGCACUGGUUCGGCCGGGCCUUUCCCUCUGGGGAGCCGCAUGCCCUUCACUGGGUGUGUCGGGGAACCAGGACUUUUACUUUGAACAAAUUAGAUCGCUUAAAGAAGGCCUAUGCUCGAAUACAUUAGCAUGGAAUAAUAGAAUAGGACGCGUGGUUCUAUUUUGUUGGUUUCUAGGACCGCCGUAAUGAUUAAUAGGGACAGUCGGGGGCAUCAGUAUUCAAUUGUCAGAGGUGAAAUUCUUGGAUUUAUUGAAGACUAACUACUGCGAAAGCAUUUGCCAAGGAUGUUUUCAUUAAUCAGGAACGAAAGUUAGGGGAUCGAAGACGAUCAGAUACCGUCGUAGUCUUAACCAUAAACUAUGCCGACUAGGGAUCGGACGAUGUUAUAUUUUGACUCGUUCGGCACCUUACACGAAAGUAAAGUUUCUGGGUUCUGGGGGGAGUAUGGUCGCAAGGCUGAAACUUAAAGAAAUUGACGGGAGGGCACCACCAGGGGUGGAGCCUGCGGCUUAAUUUGACUCAACACGGGGAAACUCACCAGGUCCAGACACAAGUAGGAUUGACAGAUUGAGAGCUCUUUCUUGAUUUUGUGGGUGGUGGUGCAUGGCCGUUCUUAGUUGGUGGAGUGAUUUGUCUGCUUAAUUGCGAUAACGAACGAGACCUUAACCUGCUAAAUAGCCCGCAUUGCUUUGGCAGUGCGCCGGCUUCUUAGAGGGACUAUCGG